rnacentral:rRNA from 1 species
CCAGCCAUGCCGCGUGUGUGAAGAAGGCCUUUUGGUUGUAAAGCACUUUAAGCGAGGAGGAGGCUACUAGUACUAAUACUACUGGAUAGUGGACGUUACUCGCAGAAUAAGCACCGGCUAACUCUGUGCCAGCAGCCGCGGUAAUACAGAGGGUGCGAGCGUUAAUCGGAUUUACUGGGCGUAAAGCGUGCGUAGGCUGGCUUUUUAAGUCGGAUGUGAAAUCCCCGAGCUUAACUUGGGAAUUGCAUUCGAUACUGGGAAGCUAGAGUAUGGGAGAGGAUGGUAGAAUUCCAGGUGUAGCGGUGAAAUGCGUAGAGAUCUGGAGGAAUACCGAUGGCGAAGGCAGCCAUCUGGCCUAAUACUGACGCUGAGGUACGAAAGCAUGGGGAGCAAA